UACGAAGGGGGGCGAGCGUUGUUCGGAUUUACUGGGCGUAAAGGGCGCGCAGGCGGCUUUGUUUGUCAGGCGUGAAAGCCCCGGGCUUAACCUGGGAAUGGCCGUUGAAACUGGCGGGCUGGGAGUGUGGCAGAGGGGGGGUGGGAAUUCCAACGUGUAGCAGUGAAAUGCGUAGAGAUGGGGAGGAACACCGGUGGCGAAGGCGGCCAUCUGGACGGAUACUGACGCUGAGGCGCGAAAGCGUGGGGAGCGAUCCGG
rnacentral:rRNA from 1 species